rnacentral:rRNA from 1 species
UUUGCCUACGGGAGGCAGCAGUCGGGAAUAUUGCGCAAUGGAGGAAACUCUGACGCAGUGACGCCACGUAUAGGAGGAAGGUUUUCGGAUUGUAAACUAUUGUCGUGAGGGAAGAAAUUGACAGUACCUCAGGAGGAAGCUCCGGCUAACUAUGUGCCAGCAGCCGCGGUAAUACAUAGGGAGCAAGCGUUAUCCGGAUUUAUUGGGUGUAAAGGGUGCGUAGACGGGAAAUUAAGUUAGUUGUGAAAUCCCUCGGCUUAACUGAGGAACUGCUACUAAAACUAUAUAUCUUGAGUACUGGAUGG